CGCACAUGGGCGGCUCGAUGGGGGGCGGAAAAGGUCGGUUAGUAAAAGCUGAAAUGUACAGGGGUCUGGUAUAGGUUGGGUUUCGACACUGAACCACAUGAUGGCGCCACUUCGAAAGCAUAGGCACUGUUAUAAAUACACAUGAUUAGAGAAAUUAGAAGGAUUAUAGUAAGACUGGAAUUGGAUUAAAGAUAACAAAAAAAGGGUAGCUGAAGUUUCGUGAAAGCUUUAGGACAUUCCACUUAUAAAUGAACGUGCUAAAAAGGUGCUAAAGCGAGAGAACAUUAAGAAUCAGAUUGACUUCAUAGAAACUAUGCGAUUACAAUUUUAGAAGAAAACCUAGACAGAUUGAAUAACGCAAUGUAGGGCACAUCCUUUAUCACUCAAGAGUGAAUUCAUAAAUUUUCCAGAUAGGUUUUACGACGUCUGAAAACAAGAAAAAAUAGUCAAAAGAGAAUGGGAGACACAAAAGAUUACAGCUGACGAAGUGUAAUGAUAAUGACGUUGCAACAUGUGAAUUCCCCACCCUUUUUGUAUUCUCAUGAUGAUGUUUGCUUAAUAUUUAAAACAAGCACUUUAAAGUCUCAUUAUUAUUAUUUUAAAACUAGUUUUUUGCUGAGCUCUUCAAAAAGAAUAACAUUGUUUACGUAGUAAAUUACUAGAGUUUGUUCGACAUAACUUUUAUGUAUAGAUGACAGAAAGUUAUGUACUGUGAUGAAGUUAGCUGGAUUUUGCUUCGCUUUUUUAAAUGUUUGUUUGCUACAUUUCAGGCGCGGAUACAGGAUUUCGUUUAGGGGGGGGGCAAUUUUUGUGAGAUUUUACCUAUCUCCCAGAUAUUCUUUCUAAAUCAAAAAAUUUACAAAAUUUUAACUAGUAUACUCUUUUUCACAUAACAUGGGUGACAUUUGGUUGUUUUCGUUACACGUAUAGUGUACAGUAGAACCUCGAUAAUCCGAAUUAAUUGGGAAAAAGGUGUGUUCGGAUUAACGAUUUGUUCGGAUCGGCGAUUUUCCCAAAAAUCUGUAAGGAAAUUGAAUAACAACUUCAUACACAGUUGAAAACAAACUUCAAGAAAUAAACCUUAAUUUUAUUAAACAAAAUUAAAGAAUUCUUAAUCUUAAGCAACAUUGGAUAAUAGAUACAUUCUAAAAAAAUAUUACUCCAUGACCAUAAACACGCUAUCUUUUUGGAAUCAACACGCCGGGAUCUAUACCCUGAAAUUUUUCAGAAUUUUUAGACGAAUUUUUCAAAAAUGAAAUUUUCCAUUAUGUAUUCUCGACGAUUUUCGAAAUUUAACUAAAUACAUUUUCUUGUAGAUUUUUGGCCUCAGAAGUCAUUUCUGGCUUCAUUUCUUCGAUAACUUAAACCAUUUUUCCAGAUUCGACCAGUUAAAAUACUUACGGCAAUUUUUAAAAAUUUCGAAAAAUCCGAAUUUCACACCGAAUUUUCGAAAAUAUUGCUCAGUUACCAUUAACAUGCUAUAUUUUUGGAAUCAGCACGUCGGGAUAUACAUAUAUCCUCGAAUUUUUUCAGAAUUUUUAGGAAACAUUUUCAAAAAUGAAAUGUUCCUCAUGCAAAUUUUGACCUAUUUUCGACGAUUUUCGAAAUUUAGCUAGCUAAAUAGCUUUUCUUGUAGAUUUCGGGCCUCAUUUCUUCGAUAACUUCAACCUUUUUUCCAGAAUUAGUUUAUUAAUUCAGUGCAUUGAAAUAUGGCAAUUUUUAAAAAUUUCAGAAUAUUCCAUACAACAUAUGUAAAAAGAUCUUGCGUCAUUUUUGCAAGUAGAUGCGUGUUUCCAAGUUCAGUUCGGAUUGCAGAGUUUUUGUUCGGAUUAAUGAAGCAUCGACUUCAAAUAGCCUCUGUUCGGAUUACCGGAUGUUCGGAUAAUCGUGAAUUCGGAUUAUAGAGGUUGUAGGUACUGUAUUUACAAAAUGAAAUGCGAUUUCAAAAUUUUGAAAUUGGUCAAAAUAAAGUACCUCGGUCGUGUGUCAGGGGGGGGCAAUUGCACCCAUUGCCCCCCCCCUGGAUCCGCGCCUGCUACAUUUAUUACAAUGAGAUAUAAAAAAUAUAAGUUAGAUUAUAUCAACAUAAGACCAUGUUAAACAUCAAUAUAUAGAGGUGAUUUUUUAAAA